UACGUAGGGUGCAAGCGUUGUCCGGAAUUAUUGGGCGUAAAGAGCUCGUAGGCGGUCUGUCACGUCGGCUGUGAAAACCCGAGGCUCAACCUCGGGCCUGCAGUCGAUACGGGCAAACUAGAGUACUGCAGGGGAGACUGGAAUUCCUGGUGUAGCGGUGAAAUGCGCAGAUAUCAGGAGGAACACCGGUGGCGAAGGCGGGUCUCUGGGCAGUAACUGACGCUGAGGAGCGAAAGCUAGGGGAGCAAACAGG
rnacentral:rRNA from 1 species